CACUAUUUUAAAUGAGCACACAUGAAUUAUAGAUCACAGGCAGCUCCGACCUGAAGCUCCUCCUAAUGACCCCUGUCCGUCCGUCUCAGCCAGGACUUCUCAUCAAUUCACUCGCUCACCGGAGGCGUUACGAGCGGCCUUUCAUCAGCGGCCCUGACGGACGGAUGAUGAAACAAAGCGUGGGAGAUGAAACGCUCCCUAAUCCCCAACAUGCAGCGGCGGUCAAAACAUCACAAAACCUGUAGAAGCCAUUUGGAGACACGCGGGCGCUGCAGGAGACGCGGCGUGACGUUCAGGUUCCUGGAGAAACGUCCGUCAUCGGAGGUUCGCACGGGGAUCUGCCGCCUGUGAGCGCAUCAUCAUCACGUCAUCACGUGCCAAAGCGCUGUUUCUGCUCGGAGUCAGAUUCAGCGUGAUGCAAGUACAUUAAAGCAACGACGUCGGAAGUGUGCUUAACUUUGAAACAGGAGACUCAAACUGUCUUUAAUCGAAACCGCCCAAGAUGUGAGUCGGUGCUGUCGGGUUCACUGUAUACUGGAACAGACACCAGGACUUUGUAAUGCCGAGUUUUGACCUGCUGUUAUCGGAACCCUCUGUGUCCACGUGCAAGAGGCUCGGUUCGGUGCCGCCGCGGCCCACGAGCUUCACCGGGCGCGUUCCUUUCUCAGGACAGAAUCCUGCACCGACGCGUGAGCGGAGGAUCGGUGGUUCUUCUCGUUACGGUUCAGUUCGGCGGAGUGGAGCCACCGCAUGGAGCCACAGCGACACCCAGCGGACAAACUGGGAACUGGCGCUAACGGAUCCUUUCAACACCUACUUUCUAAACUGCGUCUGGGUGAAACGAGGGACUCGUGGAGUCUGGAGAUAAAAUCUACAUAAAACACGGAGUUACAGGAUCAGUGUUAGAGCACAGCAGCCCUGAGCCGCGCGUGCGCGUGCGCGUGUGCGUGCGCUCCUUUGGCCUAGAGGUAAGUAAUCAGUUAGACUCCUGUUGGUUGUAGGUUCGAACCUGAUGUGCAGCUCCUUGACCUCGAGCGUAUUUUUGUUUUUAUCACAUACUAGAAAUGUUUGACCACAUAUGAAGAAGUGUUACUAUUACUCCAUGGCGGGUUAUACCUUUAUACCACACACUAUAUGAUGUAGAUUUGCUUUUUAGACUCAUGUUCUGUUGAACAGCGAUGCACAAACCACUUUCAGCAACAGAGAAAAGACACAGACAUGAAAUAAUUUUAUUGUUUAUAGUUUAUUGAGCCAGCGAGUAAAUGAUGAGGAUGUUUUAGGUUUUUCUUUUUUUAGGUGUAGUGAGGUCAUCAAUUACAUUUAACCACAAAGAUCCAUGAAGUUCCAAACCCACAUUAAUCCCCAGCAGCUCAGAGUGAAGCCUAUAAAGCGUCUGUACAUCCCUGACAAUUCAAAUAUUUAUGUUACCUUGUUUUCAGGUGCUGUUAAAACAAUACCAGUGUAACUUAAGCUAAUAAAGUUAUUGUUGUUGCUGUAACAUCAUGCUGAAAUAUUCAAACCAAGUUCUAAAAUUGCACUUUUAUUAAAAAUAUUUACAUAAAUCUUGA